rnacentral:misc_RNA from 1 species
AGAAUUAAUUUUUUUCUACUUCUAUCGUUGCUCAAUUGAAGUGGAGAGAUUAAAAUGGUGAAAGGAAGGGGAGGAUGAAAUUGAGAUCAAAGAAAACUAGGGUACUCUAGUCAAGCCAUCCUUUUAGAUAAUGUUUUCUUAAGGGUUGUGCAAAAGGUGAGCAUAACAAGUAAAAUGGACUGGGAAGCGGUUUCACUCUGAUUCACAUUUAAUAUGCGGCUGAAAUAGAUAUAACUAUUUCGCCAUUAUAUGCAAGUUUUUCACUACUCAUUGCCCUUUUCCGUUAUCGACAAUCUCGUUCUUAUGAUACUUUCAACAACUUGCCUCUGAAUGACAUUAUUUCAUUGAUUUAUGCAUCUGAAUAGUAAGGUCUUCAAGUUGUGUUAUCCAG